rnacentral:tRNA from 2 species
GGGGUUAUAGUUAAACAUAACAUUUGGGUUGCAUUCAAAAGGUAUUGAUACUUCAAUUAACCUCA